CUGGCGGCGUGCUUACACAUGCAAGUCGAACGAUGAAGCUGGAGCUUGCUCCGGUGGAUUAGUGGCGAACGGGUGAGUAACACGUGAGCAAUCUGCCCUUGACUCUGGGAUAACUGCGGGAAACUGUAGCUAAUACCGGAUACGACGCCUUGGGGCAUCCCACGGGCGUGGAAAGAAUUUCGGUCAAGGAUGAGCUCGCGGCCUAUCAGCUAGUUGGUGAGGUAAUGGCUCACCAAGGCGACGACGGGUAGCCGGCCUGAGAGGGUGACCGGCCACACUGGGACUGAGACACGGCCCAGACUCCUACGGGAGGCAGCAGUGGGGAAUAUUGCGCAAUGGGCGAAAGCCUGACGCAGCAACGCCGCGUGAGGGAUGAAGGCCUUCGGGUUGUAAACCUCUUUUAUCAGGGAAGAAGCGAAAGUGACGGUACCUGAAGAAAAAGCACCGGCUAACUACGUGCCAGCAGCCGCGGUAAUACGUAGGGUGCAAGCGUUAUCCGGAAUUAUUGGGCGUAAAGAGCUCGUAGGCGGUUUGUCGCGUCUGCUGUGAAAAUCUGAGGCUCAACCUCGGACUUGCAGUGGGUACGGGCAGACUAGAGUGCGGUAGGGGAGAAGGGAAUUCCUGGUGUAGCGGUGGAAUGCGCAGAUAUCAGGAGGAACACCAAUGGCGAAGGCACUUCUCUGGGCCGCUACUGACGCUGAGGAGCGAAAGCGUGGGGGGCGAACAGGAUUAGAUACCCUGGUAGUCCAC
rnacentral:rRNA from 1 species